rnacentral:rRNA from 1 species
UACGGGGGGAGCAAGCGUUGUUCGGAUUUACUGGGCGUAAAGGGCGCGUAGGCGGCCACCGCAAGUCGGUUGUGAAAUCUCUGGGCUUAACCCAGAAAGGUCAACCGAUACUGCGGGGCUAGAGUGCAGAGGGGGCAACUGGAAUUCUCGGUGUAGCGGUGAAAUGCGUAGAUAUCGAGAGGAACACCUGCGGCGAAGGCGGGUUGCUGGGCUGACACUGACGCUGAAGCGCGAAAGCUAGGGGAGCGAACGGG